UUUAAUACAAAAUUAACAAAAAAUAUUUAAUAUGAAAAACAUUGCGAAUAUUAUAAAAAAAUCCCCUUAUACUCAAUUUGGUUAGUAAGGGCGUGUCCUUAAAGAUUUCCUCUAGAGAAUUAGGCAUUGUCAAGGAGAGGAUACCUUCCCUCUAGUAAACCACAACUAGUGCGUACAAGUUUGAAGAAUGCAGUAGCACUAAUACUUCUAUAAUACACACAACAGCCUCUUUGGAUUUUUUUCACUUGCCGAUUUUUACAUACACCUUUUUUUAAUAUUCGCGAAUUUCGUACACACAUACAUAUGUAUUAAAUGUAUAUACGCAACGCCAGAAUGGCAUUGCAUGCAACUGCGUUUAUGCAAGUUCACAAAAAUACAAGCAUAUUUAAGCUACUAAAGGGUCAGCUUAGCAGGUAUGUAGGUUAAGACCGGGAGAUAUAUGAGGCAUAUGAAAGAGGCAAACAAAAUGAAAGAAUUUGGGCUUUCCAAAUUAUUGAUUAGAGGUUACCCGCGUCAACCCUAACUCUCAAUGUACGUUUUAUCGUUUUGAAUUGCAUGCAACAAGUGUCUAUUUCAUUACCAGCUGAAUAAUAUCUACAGAGUGAUCGUGUAAAAACGUUGCAAAGGACGCAGAAGAUAAUUUAAUGAUGGCUUCCUCAGCUAGCAACGAUCCGAAUACAUCCAGAAUUGAACUUAGUAAUUCAGAUAUAAAGACUAAAAUUAUUCAGAACGAAUUUAAAAUCAGUGAUAAAAUUGGAAAAAGUAAAGUCUGGGAGGUUUUUGGUAAAGUGGAGAAAAAUAACGGAGAGGAAAUCGAAAAUGUUGUAGCAUGUAGAAAAUGCAUAAAUGUGUACAAGUUCUCAAGAAUAGCACAUCAAAUUUAGUGAAGCAUAAGUGCUAUUUGAUAUCAAGAUGUAACGAUAGUACUUUGGCGGCAAAAAUAGACGUCGACGUUGAGACAAAAAAAGCCGGAAUACGAAUUCUGUUGUCGAUCAUUUAAAAUUGUGGAAGACCCCGGAUUGGCGAGAUUUUCAGAAUUUCUAAUAGCAACCGGUGCAAAAUAUGGCCAACAUAUAGAUGUAAGCAAGUUACUACCCCAUCCAACAACCAUCGUGCGAAAUGUCGGUAAAAUAUACAAUGUAUAUUUCGAAAAAAUACGAGAAGAAAUUCAAUCGGUAAAAAACGUGGGAUUUGGACUCACUUCCGACAUAUGGACAGAUGAUUGUUUAAGGACAUCAUAUUUAUGUUUGACGAUUCACUUUUGCAGAAAUGGGCAAUUGAUCACUCAUCUUUUGGGAAUGAAAUCAAUGGAAGGCGCAAAAUGCACAGGUGGAAACAUUACAACAAAGGUUGAGAAACUCUUGGAUGAAUUUGAUUGCACACCCGGCGACCAGGCCAUUGUUGUCACUGACAGAGGCUCAAACAUGGUGGCAGCAUUUCGCACCUACAACCACAUAAACUGCAUAAACCACUUACUGCACAAUAUACUAGUUAAAUUGUUUAAUAAAUCGGGCAUAAAUUGUCCUCAUUAAGAUCCUCUUUAAAAAGCUUUUUAUGCACACGCUGGAACACUAUUUAUUAUAGGUCAAACCGAACCGAGUCUUCUACUUCCGUUUCGGCUUACAAUUCGCAAAUUUUUAUGGACUUUUUACAACCUCGAACCUUCGAAGAAAAAAUCAACAAUGAGAUAC